CCUCUCGGGACUUGUAGUGCGGGCCCGCCCCGCCGGCCCGGGCAGCGCCGGCACCGCGCCCGCCCCUGAGCCCCGGGCCCGGCCCCUGAGCCCCGGGCCCGGCCCUGCCCCAGGAAACCGGCCGUGCUGAGCCCCGGGCCCGGCCCUGCCCCAGGAAACCGGCCGUGCUGAGCCCCGGGCCCGGCCCUGCCCCAGGAAACCGGCCGUGCUGACGUGGGACGGCGCUGCCUCGCACCGUCCCGGCCUCUCGGCUGCCGCGUUCCAGCGCUCCUCCGACCGAAUCAAACACAGGUUUCCAAAUCCGAAUUUAGCCUAUGAUCAGAUUAAAACCCUUCUCCUGUAGUCUCAUGUAGUCUCCUAUUCUGAAUUCUGUCCCUGCCCGGCAUCGCAGCAGCAGCCGAAGGAGUGCAAAAAAUGUAUAUGGAAAACGCAGGCGCAUCAGCGGGUAAAAAGCUGUAUUUUACAGGGAUUAGGCUUGUGAAUGUUUUUGGGUUUUGUUGAUUUUUUUUUUUUUUUCCAUUGAAACGCCUAGCAUAUAUUUUGGGCUCUAGGGAACUUCUGGUGUUAAUAAUAAGGAACUUCUAACAUGGGAAACGUGACUGUGAAGACACCAGGCUACCACAGGGAGGUUCAGCUUGGACGUUGGCAAAAGGAACUGCAGCAUCCCUCAAGUCCUCCCCUGUGGCCAUCACCUCCUGACCAGAAAUGUGCCAAGAUGCAUAGAUGACAUUCUGUUGCUAACAAAUGUUUAGAAAACAACUGAAAAGAGCGGUAUCACAAGGCAAGAUUUCCCUCCUGCCCAGAGGCCCCAGGGCCAAUGAAGCUUUUGGCUUGCACAUAACUCCUAAGCAUAAUGCAACAGGUAAGCCAAUGUUACACACUGUGAGACAGUCAUACUCCUAAAAGGACCACAGAGCUUGUCAAACAUGAAAAUACCUGAAAUUCCCUUUUAUUCUGCUGCAGUUUUCUUUCCUAAAAGUUAAUUAGUAUUUUAGUUAGAGCACUUCUGGCUUACAAGGCAAAUAACUCCACAUAAAAAAUAAAAAUGUAUUUACUCUCAAAAAGUUGAGACUGGUCUAACUUGUAAUAAUUGUAGUGACUUUAUCUUAUAAUGAAUAUGAGCAUUCAUGGUUCCUGAGUAAGUCCACAUUUAUUCUUGAAAAAAGGUAAAUAUGCAAGAAAAAGGAAGUCUAUCAUCACUAAGGAGGCAGAGGUGAUACAGCUUGUGUCUGUGCCAGGCUCAUGCUGUCAUGUUUACAGAAUUGCAGGAAACAUGGAUAAAUAAAGCAGCAUAUCUGUACUGUGCUUUUGAUUAAAGUGAGAUCAGAGCUCCAAGAUCAGAGUGGCUGAGAGCAUACACUGCUUCUUUCCACAAAACAGAUGAUGCCUAUAUAACUUAGAUCAGUUACAAGACUCUAAUAUAGCUUGAGUUAUAAGAUAUCAAUAUAAUCUGAUAUAUUUAUAUAACCUGAUAUCAAUAUAACCUAAAUAAUGACUUUUUAUAUAUCUAUAUAACCUGAAUCAUAGCUUUUUAUACCUGUAUAACCUCAAUCAUAAAUUGUACACCUCUAUAACCCGAUAAAAACAACUUUCUAUACAAUGCAAUGGCUAGUAUAAACUUUACUAUUUGCUUAAUGCUGAACAGAAAAAAAAAAAAGAAGAAAAUACCAGGUGGAUAGCUUUAGAGAUAGAUAAAUAUAGUACAAUGAGAAAUUGGCAAAUGUGAAGUCAAUUAGCCACAAAACAAAGAAUUUAGGCCAGUUGAGACCAGACAGACCAAGGAACACUGUAACUGUGCAUGCUCUGCUGACAAAGUUGAGAAGUUCAGAUAGGAAGAAGACCUUGGAAGCCUUCAUCAAAGAUCCCCCACGACCCCCAUAUUGGGGAGGAGUAAGCACAGUGCAAAAUCUAAUAACCAUGAGAUCAUACUAUAUAAAUGAGCUCCUGUGUGUAUGUGACGUUGCUUUAGUGACGCAGUAACACUAAGAAAUACUUACUGUAUAAAUUUGGCAAGGGUGGGUGAGUUAGGUGGAGCUAUCCCCCCCGCCACCAGCACUGCAAUAAACAAAUACCUGCUCCACAGACAUUGGUCUGUGGGGAUUUAUUUCCAGCCUAUCUUUUAGGCAUCACAGAAAGCAAAAAUUACUGUCUCUUGUCUGCUAUCUUCUGACAAAUAGGGAUUCCAUUAGAGAUGAGCCCAAGAGUUUUUCAGAGCUCACACAGAACAUCCACUGGUCUUUUCUUUCCAGAGCAAUGGAACUCCCAACAACUGCCCUCUCCAUUCCUCUCCCACACAGUGUCAGCCCAAACCUGCAUGCUGAGAUGUGGUUAAACUGUUCCUUUCACUCCAUUUUAACAAAUGACUACCUAUGACUGUUACUGCCAAGAUAAGUACUGUCACCCUGCUAUAGCCUAUUUACAGUACUUGCAUAUUCUAGCACAGAUUAUUUCGAAGGCUGAAUGGUUUUGGCCAACUCUUAUUUAAAUUAUUUGGAGGUGGAAAACGAGAAAAACUUUGCUAAGCUUUUUCUUUAACCAACAAACAGGCAAAGUAUUUUUUCAAAUGACUGUUUCUGAUGCAGUCUGACCUAUUGUUCUACAUCCCCCUGCCUCUCAGUCACCACAAGGUCCAUGAAGAACAUCACAGUUUUACAUUCCCAGAAUAUACUCUUUCCUUCUAUGCAAGCAAGUCAGCCAAACAAUUACAUGGGCUGUUUUAACUGCUGGCAAUGUCUCAUUUUCCAGCAAUAUUCUUUAAGCACUAGAUGGUGCUCCAUUCCUCUUGCACAUUCACCAUUUACGAUCCCCUCUCAAAAUGGAAAAAGAUACAAGCUGUGGAUAAGCAGGGAAGCUUAGCUGCAGUUUCUGAUUCAGUAGGAAAGAUAUUAUUUCACUUCAGUUAACUGUUUCAUCUAACACCAGUUGACUAUAUGACAACAUUAAUACAUGAGUUUACUUUUUUUUUUGCUGUUAUUGCACUGCAUUUUAGCAAGAACUCCUCACUAUGAAAAAACAACAAUAUACAAUUCAGUGAAUGGCAGCAUUGAUUUCUAGCUGGAAAUCUGUAAUCUGACUUGUGAAGAUAUCCAGGCCAGUUGGCAGUUGUGUAAAAGAGAAAGAGUCAAACUACACCCCUUAUGAAUAGAAAAGCGAGAAUUACUUAACUGUGGCAAGAAGCUGAGCAAUCCAUAUGCACACAGUCCUUGGCCUGUCAGCAUCCAUGUGGAUCCCAAGUGGCUGCUACAGGGCUUGGGAGGUAUGCUGAAGAGGAAAAGCAGAAUUUUGAGUACUGUUGUAGAGAUUAAAUGAUUAAUGGGUAAAAGAUAUAACCAAAGCUAAUGACAUAAUUCAUAAAACACAAUUAUUUCAGCUGCA